CCUACGGGGGGCAGCAGUGGGGAAUAUUGCACAAUGGGGGCAACCCUGAUGCAGCGACGUCGCGUGAGUGAUGAAGUAUCUCGGUAUGUAAAGCUCUAUCAGCAGGGAAGAAAGAAAUGACGGUACCUGCCUAAGAAGCCUCGGUUAACUACGUGCCAGCAGCCGCGGCAAUACGUAGGGGGCAAGCGUUAUCCGGAUUUACUGGGUGUAAAGGGAGCGUAGACGGCGAUGCAAGUCUGAAGUGAAAGGCGGGGGCCCAACCCCUGGACUGCUUUGGAGACUGUAUGGCUGGAGUGCAGGGGAGGUAAGUGGAAUUCCUAGUGUAGCGGUGAAAUGCGUAGAUAUUAGGAGGAACACCAGUGGCGAAGGCGGCUUACUGAACUGUAACUGACGUUGAGGCUCGAAAGCGUGGGGAGCAAACAGGAUUAGAUACCCUAGUAGUC
rnacentral:rRNA from 1 species